UGCUGCAAUGAUGACAUUUUAUUUGCUACUCUUGACUAUGAGAAUGACGAGAAUUAUUACCACCGUUAACACUAACUGAGGCA
ensembl:snoRNA SNORD24 Small nucleolar RNA SNORD24